AUUGAACGCUGGCGGCGUGCUUAACACAUGCAAGUCGAACGGAGCGGCGAACGGGUGGGUAACGCGUGAGUAACUGCCCCCCUCCCUGGGAUAACAGUUGGAAACGGCUGCUAAUACCGGAUAGUGGGGGAUGACUCGCGUCCUAUAAGCUUGUUGGGGGGGUAGUGGCCUACCAAGGCGACGACGGGUAGCCGGCCUGGGAGGGCGACCGGCCACAUGGGUCUGAGAUACGGCGCAGACUCCUACGGGGGGCAGCGGUGGGAAGUCUUGCACAAUCGUGCCGCCCCUGUUGCAGCAGCGCCGCGUGCGUGAUGACGGCCUUCGGGUUGUAAACCGCUUUCAGCCAUGACGCGUUAGUGGCAGAAGAAGCACCGGCUAACUACGUGCCAGCAGCCGCGGUAAUUC
rnacentral:rRNA from 1 species